AGGAAUGGGCUAUACAUGGAUGGUAUCAGCGAAAGCUACGUGGUGCAUGAAUGGGGCAAUAACAAAUGCCCUACGCUUCCCAAUCCCUUACACGUUUUGAUUAAAAAACUAAGGAUAAAAGAAGCGUGUGUUUCGCCAUUCUCUCUUCACCUUUUUCUGUUACCUCAUUCUCUCUCUCUCGACCAUUUCCUUUUUGCCGUCUCUCUGAUCAUGGCUUCCUCUGCAUCCUCUGGAGCGAAAUUUGUGCCAGAAGAAGAUAACUUCUUACAGAGACAUGUAGCCUUCUUUGAUAGGAACAAAGAUGGCAUCGUUUAUCCCUCAGAGACAUUUCAAGGGUUUAGAGCAAUUGGAUGUGGAUAUCUCUUGUCGGCAUUCGCUUCUCUGUUCAUCAAUAUGGGUCUAAGCAGCAAAACUCGUCCGGGAAAAGGUUUCUCGAUAUCAUUUCCGAUAGAGGUAAAGAAUAUCCAUCUAGCCAAACAUGGCAGUGAUUCAGGCGUUUACGACAAGAAUGGAAGAUUUGUGGAAUCGAAGUUCGAGGAGAUAUUUGCUAAGCAUUCAAAGACACAUCCCGAUGCAUUGACAAACAAGGAACUCAAACAACUUCUCAACUCAAACAAAGAGGCUAAUGAUCGUAAAGGAGCUAUGCGAAUUAAAAAUUUACAGGAUUGCUGCAUUUACGGAGUGGAAGAUCUUGUAUUAUCUAUGCAAAGACAAGAACGGGUUGUUGCACAAAGAUACAGUGAGAGCUGUCUAUGAUGGUUCUCUUUUCGAGAAACUCGAGAAACAAAAAGCUUCCAAGAAACAUGCUUAAACCACCAUUUUAAAAAUAAACUCUUCUAUGCUUGUGAUUUGUGAAUCUGUUUGUUUAUAACGCAUUUUAUUAGUGAACAAUGCGUAAAGAUUGCAAUGUUUGAUUUUCAAAAAUUUAUAGUUCUUGUCCCUUUUUUGUGUGUAUUUUACUUAAGUGUGUACGUUCUUAUCUCUUUCAAUAAAUGAUUAUAUACGUCAAAUUGAAAAUUAUACAAUUAGUAAUCUCCUAUAUAUCAAUAGAGAAUCAUUAAAAAAAUUGUAAUAUUAAAUUUGUAUUAAUUAAAAAAUAACUCUAAUUAUCUCUUAAUUAAAAUGUCAAUUUAGCUUACGUAACAUCAUAAUAAUCAAUUGAAAAAUUAAUAAGUCUAAAAUCCAAUUGGUAGAAAAACUUGUAUUAACCCAAAUAUAAAUAUAUAUGAUAAAUUUAAUACUCGAUGAUUUCAUUAAUUUAAUAUCCUUUUUUGUGACAUAUAGUUAUAAUCGCCCAGAAAACAUAUGUUUUGCUCCAAAGUAUGCUUAUAUAAUAUUGUUUUUUUAUGAUUCACAGUAAAGUUUUUCAUUUUUGAUUUAAUAAAGUGUAAUUUUUUUUAUUGUAAUCAAUUGUUGUCGUUCUCAUGACGAACGCAUUCUCACAUAUGAUUCUUCCAACUGUUUUUUUUAUAAUGAGUUAUUUUUAUGAUGAGUAAAGUUCUUCAAUAAAGGUUUUUCAGCAUUAUGCAUACCAAGUUGUCUCAAAUAAUUUCAAAGUAAUGUUUUGUUCGAAACUCAACACAUACCAACGAAUGUUAUAGGUUCUUUAAGGGUCAAACUUAUCUUCAUGAUAUCAGAGACGGUAUGAUGUGUUAUAAGUUCUAGAUUUCAGAAACGAUUUUUAGCGGUCAAAUUUUUCUUCAAUAAAAUCAUAGAACGACUUAGCAGUGAAUGUGUUUAUUCAAUAGUAACUUUUCUAAUUUUUUUAUUAAACCGAGUAGUAAACAAUAAAUAUUGUAUAAUAUCGAAGGAGUGGAUCAUUGAUUGUUAUAUAUCCGAGUAUAGAACAAUGAAAUAUAUUUCAAAGUAAAAUCAGUGGGCUCUAUAAUUAAUGUACGGUUUAUACACCGUUGAUUUUGGUUAUGUGGCAUUUAAAUUUAAACUAGGUGUUUGUCCGAAAUUUUGCGGGUAGAUAUAUUAUAUAAAGAAAUAUAUAUUAUAUUUACACUUUUAUAAUUUUUGAAUAAUAAUUAGAAAUUUAAAAUUUUAAUUUUAAUUUCAAGUAUUUGGAUAAUCAAAAAUUUCAGUAUAUAUUUUUAGAAGAUAUGUGAGAUUUAAAAUAGUUCAAAAACAUAAACCUUAGUCAUAAAAAAUCUUUCUCUUACAGAAAAAAAUAUUAUAAUUAAUUCAAAUAGAAUUACUUUAUAUUUUAGUUUAACACAUGAAAAACCAAAAAUACUCUAACUCUCAAGAGAAAGAAAAAAAGAGUGUGUGUUUUUUUUUUUAACUCCAAUAUGACCAAUACAAUGAUUGGAGGCUUUUAUCAUGAAAGAUCUUUCAUAAACGGUUUUGUGUGGGCUUUAAAAACAUAAAAGUUAUAAUAAUUCCUUACCUACAAAUAUAAUUAUUUUCCAUAAUAAUAUAUAACCAUUAAAUUUAUUUCUCUAAAAAGUCCUAAAGUAUUUUAUUUAAUUAUAUAUAACUAACUGAUAAAAAUAAAUAAAUUGAUAAAACAUAUAUAUUCUUUCUCUAAUUUUACAAUUAGUUACCAUAAAUCAUUAUUUGUAAUAUCAUUUGUGUUAUUUUGUAAUUUGUAUUAAUUAGUUCUAGAGUUACCUUUUAUUUUUAGAUAUGAUUAAAAUAAUAACUAAUAAAUGUUAACAACCAAUUAAAUUAUAACUAUUUUUAAAACUUAACCUGUUACAGACACCCUGUUACAGACACAUAAUCAAAAGUCAAUUAAGUAACUUCUCAAUUAAUAUAUAGUAAGAUUUAUCUCUUUAAAACUAAGAAUAAAUUUGGUUAAGGUAAACAUAAAAACAUGUAUUAGGAAAAUGGUAGUUUAAGAAAUUUUUCUCAUUGACAAAAAAAAAGUAAUUUUGUCAUAAUUUGUUCCAAAUCACACUUUCUCACUCAUUUUUUUAAUUUAGUGCUUGACAUAAAACUCAAAUUAGUUAAGCAAAAAAAUUCUUCCUUAAAUUACUCACACUAUUUUAUCAAACACUAACUCAUUCAACAAAAAAUUGAUUAUUAUUUUAUAAAAUAUUUAUUUUACAUAAAUGAAAUCAAAUCCAAAAUGCAUACACCAUAUUACAAAUUUACUACAAAAAUAAAUGUAUAAAUAUUUUAAAAGACAUGUAGUGAGAAAAUAAUUGACGAAAAUUGGCCAAUUGAAAUCUAAGUAUCGUUGAUAAAUUAUUUUAUCAUAAAGUUUACUAUUUUGUUCUAUUGUUUUCAAAUUUUGGAACUAAUACUUUAGAAUACAGAAAGCCGGAAAAAAAAAGAAUACACAAACAAUCUUAUUAUAUAAUUAAAACAUGUUUUCUCUAUCUUGGUGAGGACACGUCAGUACCACAUCAUAAAGUCGAAGCCUCACGAGUUAACACGUGUCCAUCUAGUUAUAUCAAGCAACCAUAGAAAUCUCAUGAAACCCAGGCCGAUAGCAAGUGACCUAACCCUCUCAACCCACGUGUCUUCGGAAUUUGUUUUCAUCCCGUUCUUUGUUGUCCGCCAAAGCUGCAGUCAACAUGAGGAAUCAAAUCGAAGGAUAUCAAUUGCGUUGUUUGAUUGUCACCACAAUCAACAUACAUGAUUUCUUCCCCCUCCUGCAAUGGGAGAUCAAAAACGUUACAGAACUCAACCAGAUUCAAUCAGUGUCGUUAAAGUUCUUCUUAGCUCCAUCCCUUCCCCCACUCCUUCCACGAUUCUUCAUUCAAUGUUCCCACCUUGCUUUCAGACGGUGAAUCUACAUAUAUAAAUAGAACACAAUGACAAACUCUUCUCGCUAUGAGCUCUCGCCUAGGAGUUGAAGCUGAAGACUUCCUGGAGGAAAGACAAUCGUCAGAAACGAGUGCAGCACAGUAAGAGGAGGAAAGCGGCGACGGAGGGAAAGAAGGAGGAUGAAGGAGGUGAAGGAUAAAGAGAAAGCCAUUGAUGAUGGUGAAGAGGAUAGAGAGAAGAGAACAUUAAUGGAGAGUGGGACAAAGCUAACACCAGUGAGAAGGAUAUCUAUGGAAACACCGAGGACACUGAGCUCAAGAAUUGGGACUCCGAGUUCGUCAAAGUUGAGUAUCAUUGAAUUUGAGUAAAUAUUGAGUCUUUUGAUGGUUUUUGAUCGCAUACGAUUUUGAGUAAUGAUUGAUUUUGAGUAAACAUUGAGUCCUUUGAUGGUAUCAAAUUUUUGGGUUUUUGAUCAAAUACGAUUUAGGGUACGAUUGGUUUUGAGUUAAAAUGGAGUAGUUUUGAUGAUUUGUUUUGUAGGCUGCUAACUAUUUGAGCAUCACUGGACUUCUUAACCCGACGUGUAAGACUGUAGCGGAUAUGAUGAUAGGCAAGACUCCAGAAGAGAUGCGCACGCACUUCAACAUUAAUAACAACAUGGGCCUUUGAGUGGCUUCCCUGGUGGUUUUGGCAAGUUCUGUUGGUUUUUUAUCAUCAAGUUUGGGUCUUUGUGCUUUUUUUU